rnacentral:rRNA from 1 species
GAUGAACGCUGGCGGCGUGCCUAAUACAUGCAAGUCGAGCGAACGGACGAGAAGCUUGCUUCUCUGAUGUUAGCGGCGGACGGGUGAGUAACACGUGGAUAACCUACCUAUAAGACUGGGAUAACUUUGGGAAACCGUAGCUAAUACCGGAUAAUAUUUUUAACCGCAUGGUUCAAAAGUGAAAGACGGUCUUGCUGUCACUUAUAGAUGGAUCCGCGCUGCAUUAGCUAGUUGGUAAGGUAACGGCUUACCAAGGCAACGAUGCAUAGCCGACCUGAGAGGGUGGUCGGCCACACUGGAACUGAGACAGAGUCCAGACUCCUGCGGGAGGCAGCAGUAGGGAAUCUUCCGCGAUGGACGAGAGCCUAACGGAGCAACGCCGCGUGAGUGAUGAAGGUCUUCUGACCGUAAAACUCUGUUAUUAGGGAAGAACAUAUGUGUAAGUAACUGUGCACAUCUUGACGGUACCUAAUCAGAAAGCCACGGCUAACUACGUG